AAAGCCAACAUCAAAUGUUAUUUUUUGCAGAGAGAUCCUUACCAAUCGAGUGAGAGCGAGGAUUACCCCCAGCCCUCGUAUCGUGGAGGAAACAGAAUGGCCGUCUCUAAACCCCACCAGAAGAGGAUCCGGCAGCAGAAUGGUUACAAUGAGUACCGCUACGAGCGCUAUGAGAGCUAUCCACCUAGCCUCCUGGACCGUGAACAGCACAGCAAGGCCAUCAGGGUAAAAUUCUUCAAAAACCGAGACGCUCUGCACAAAGGUAUCGUUUUGUCCAUCAGCGAGAAAAUGUUUCCCUCCCUGGAUAGCCUGAUGAACCAUCUGAAUAACAAGAUAGAUACUCCUCAGGGCGUCAUGUACAUCUUCAGACUUGAAGACGGGAAGCUGAUCCAAAAUGUCAAGGAAUUUCAGCCAGGGGACGAGUGCGUGGUAUCCAGCACGCUAAAAAUUGACCGGAGAAUACAGUACGGUCAGAUAUCCGGCCCUCCCUCCCCCACCAAGCGUGGUCUGCCGAUCCAGCGGAGUCAGGGGUCUUCCAGAGAACACGUACUCAGAGGGAGUCACACCGGCGGGAUGAAUAGAUCUCCAAACCAAGCCAAGAGCAAACCCUUGACGUUUACCGUCAUCAACAACACCAUGAGGUCUGUACAGGAUAAAAUGAUCAUCAACCCCCACACAGAGCAGUCCUUCGAGCAAAUGCUGGCUGACAUGGGGGAGGUGGUCAACAUGUUGGACAACCCAGCAACAGCAUUGUAUUGUGCCGUCCCACCAUACACCAAGAUCGAGAGUUUUUCAAAUCUUCGCCAUGAGCUCGUUGUGAAAAAGGUGGACAGCUUUUUCGUUGUUGGGGGCGAGGGUGCCCCAAAAGAAUUACGACAGAAAAAAGUCCCUGUUCGCGAACCGACCCCGCCCCCAGAAGAUGACAUGGAUUACUAUGAGGAACCACCUCACCAUCAGACCUACAGGGAACCAUCUCCACAGCGACAAAAGGAGCGGGGCAAAUGGAAGCCUGCUAAAGAGCCCCAACGGAAACUUUCAAAACAACCGACCGAAUCAAAAUGGCUACAAUGAUGACAAAAAUCAAAAUGGCUUCGUGGAUGACAGGACCCAGCCUCGCCAUCGUGGAAAUCAAAAAAGCAACAAUGUUACAAAUAAACCAACAGCUCAGUCCCAGAAAGUAAACACAAGCCGAGAAGACCGCGGACCAAACAACAGGUCCCAGGAUUUGAGGAGAUCCAAUGACUCGCUGGCGCCCAAACCAGCACGCGAGGCUCGACACAACCAACAUGAAAAGGAACCCCCUAAACACAGAAACCAGCGGAGUGACACCCAGGACAGCAACAGAUACCCGGCAAAAUCCCAACCCGCGCGACAACCACAGAAACAGUCCAAUUUCGAGGAAGAGAGAGACAUGGAGGUUGAUGAAGGCGAGGAGGAGAUGCAGCAUAAUGGCUAUCACGAUGAAGUAGAUAACCGAGAUGAUGCGUAUGCAGACGACAACGGUGAGGAGACAGAAGACGAGUAUGAUGACGAACCGCCCCAACAGCGCGCGGCGAGGAAAGGACCCCGGAUGGAAACCCCCGAAUGCUAGAAGCAAUUGUCGUCUGCUCACCUCUGUGAUACGGGUGCUUGAAAUUCAUAUCUUCUAUGGUAACGGAUUACUACCAGCAAUUGUGAAAGGAUCUUUGUUUUCACAUAAGAAAUGAAUUUCGUAAAAAAAGAAAGAAAUACUUGGUGAUAAUUGUUACUCUUUAAUUUAUCAGCGUAGAUUUUAGAUUUUAUUAAUUGAACAUAUGAUAUACUCACUGACGUAUUUUUUUUUUUAUCCUUAUCGUUAAUUCAUCUGGAUAAAAUACAACCGAGAUACUAGCUUUACAUUACCUACAUCAAAGAAAAGAAUCAAUUGAUGAACGUGUUCCAAAGGUACUUACAUUACUUCAUAUUGCAAUCAUUUGUAAUAUGAUCAUAUGUAUAUUGUAUAUAGUCUCUACCCUUUGUUGAUAAAUGUUUAUAAAGAACAAUAAAGUUAUUGUUAUU
rnacentral:misc_RNA from 1 species